AAAACCAUCAAUAGUUUAUUUGCCAAAUCAUGAGCUUACAUGGAAAUACCAUACAAGUGUUUCAUGUUACACAUUACAAACUCAGACCAGGAUAUUUCUGUCCCAUUCCAGUUCAGCUACUACAAUAUCUAGUUGAUCAUAUCUAGUCUCGCCACCUGAUGAUUAGUCUGCUACGCUAGGCCAGGGAUUUCGCUUGUGCAGACCAGUCACCAACUCAGUAGAUUCCAGGUAUAAUCCUGUAGCGAACCUUGUUGCAGUACAGCUUCCAGUAUUUCUGGUACUUGGAGGAACACCGAUCGUCGUCUCUUUUUGCCCGGUCGAAAAGGAGAAUGGUGAGGAAUAUCACGUAGAAAUACGGUAGGAAAUGGUUGAAAAGUGCAGGCACAGUCCAGAAAAACGCAGCCAAUAUCUCCGGUACAUAGUGGAAAUGGCGAGAUAAACCCCACCAGCCGGAAGUUAGAAGAAGGCUGGUUUUUGUUUCGCCUUUCUCGGUCUUAUAAGUGGCCACUAUCUUAGAAGGAGCUCUCCCCCAAAUCGUGCACUUUCCGUUGGUUCUGCGAAAUUCUUGGCGUUG
rnacentral:misc_RNA from 1 species